UCUAGGGGAGAACCCAAAAUUGCCGAGAUAGGUUGUCUCACUAUUAUUGGGCUCCGCCCAAUUUCUAUUAUUGGGCCUCCAACAAAUUAGCCCUUAACGAACACAUUUGGUCAUCAUCACUUUGUACCUCCUCUUGCUGCCCUCUUUGCAGAAAAGAGAGCUUCUUUACAAGCAUCAGUUGCUGCUGUCCCUAAUAGAAAUUCACUGUAAGGAUUUCAAUAACCUAGCGUUGUUUCUUGACUUUGUACACAUUUUGUACUGUAACAUACGUUCUCACAUCCUAUAUCUAAGCUUCUGCUAGACUGUUUCACUUAUGCACUUUCUGCCGUGUUUAUUGUUUACAAAUUUCUUUGAGGAAAUUAUUGUUGUCUCUGAUUAAUUCUUGCCGUUGCUGGGCACUAGGCUUUGGUCUUGUAUUCAUGUUUUAAAUAAAAUCUAGCACUUGGUUUUAUAUGUGGUAAAUAUAUUUUUGUUAGGGUGUUGUUUCAACGAAUAAAUUGAACAUGCAUUGAAAUAUCUAGGGUUUAUUGUUAGGGUUUUGUUUCAACAGGAUUGUCCUAGUAUAUAUGGUCUCAGUGUUAUCAAUUGGCAUAUUUAGCUGGUUAUAGUGUCUAGAAGCGAGGCUGAGGUGCUUCAGGCAUGUACGGAGGAGAAGUCCUGAUGCCCCGGCGAGUAGUUGUGAGCGGCUGGCGAUGGCGGCGUACGGCGAGGCAGAGGGAGG
rnacentral:lncRNA from 1 species